rnacentral:rRNA from 1 species
UACGAAGGGGGCUAGCGUUGCUCGGAAUCACUGGGCGUAAAGCGCACGUAGGCGGACUCUUAAGUCGGUGGUGAAAUCCUGGAGCUCAACUCCAGAACUGCCUUCGAUACUGGGAGUCUCGAGUCCGGGAGAGGUGAGUGGAACUGCGAGUGUAGAGGUGAAAUUCGUAGAUAUUCGCAAGAACACCAGUGGCGAAGGCGGCUCACUGGCCCGGUACUGACGCUGAGGUGCGAAAGCGUGGGGGAGCAAACAGG